UACGUAGGGGGCAAGCGUUGUCCGGAAUUAUUGGGCGUAAAGAGCGCGUAGGCGGUCCGGUAAGUCGGCUGUGAAAGUCAGGGGCUCAACCCCUGAAGGCCGGCCGAUACUGUCGGACUAGAGUCCGGAAGAGGCGAGUGGAAUUCCCGGUGUAGCGGUGAAAUGCGCAGAUAUCGGGAGGAACACCAAUGGCGAAGGCAGCUCGCUGGGACGUAACUGACGCUGAGACGCGAAAAGCGUGGGGAGCAAACAGGG
rnacentral:rRNA from 1 species